GGAUUAGAUACCCUGGUAGUCCACGCCGUAAACGAUGUCUACUUGGAGGUUGUGCCCUUGAGGCGUGGCUUCCGGAGCUAACGCGUUAAGUAGACCGCCUGGGGAGUACGGCCGCAAGGUUAAAACUCAAAUGAAUUGACGGGGGCCCGCACAAGCGGUGGAGCAUGUGGUUUAAUUCGAUGCAACGCGAAGAACCUUACCUGGUCUUGACAUCCACGGAAAUUUUCAGAGAUGAGAAUGUGCCUUCGGGAACCGUGAGACAGGUGCUGCAUGGCUGUCGUCAGCUCGUGUUGUGAAAUGUUGGGUUAAGUCCCGCAACGAGCGCAACCCUUAUCCUUUGUUGCCAGCGGUCCGGCCGGGAACUCAAAGGAGACUGCCAGUGAUAAACUGGAGGAAGGUGGGGAUGACGUCAAGUCAUCAUGGCCCUUACGACCAGGGCUACACACGUGCUACAAUGGCGCAUACAAAGAGAAGCGACCUCGCGAGAGCAAGCGGACCUCAUAAAGUGCGUCGUAGUCCGGAUUGGAGUCUGCAACUCGACUCCAUGAAGUCGGAAUCGCUAGUAAUCGUGGAUCAGAAUGCCACGGUGAAUACGUUCCCGGGCCUUGUACACACCGCCCGUCACACCAUGGGAGUGGGUUGCAAAAGAAGUAGGUAGCUUAACCUUCGGGAGGGCGCUUACCACUUUGUGAUUCAUGACUGGGGUGAAGUCGUAACAAGGUAACCGUAGGGGAACCUGCGGUUGGAUCACCUCCUUA
rnacentral:rRNA from 1 species